ACUCGAGUGGCGAACGGGUGAGUAACACGUGGGUGAUCUGCCCUAGCACUUCGGGAUAAGCCUGGGAAACUGGGUCUAAUACCGGAUAGGAGCCAUUUUUAGUGUGAUGGUUGGAAAGUUUUUCGGUGUAGGAUGAGCUCGCGGCCUAUCAGCUUGUUGGUGGGGUAAUGGCCUACCAAGGCGGCGACGGGUAGCCGGCCUGAGAGGGUGGACGGCCACAUUGGGACUGAGAUACGGCCCAG
rnacentral:rRNA from 1 species